GACUGACGCUCAGGUGCGAAAGCGUGGGGAGCAAACAGGAUUAGAUACCCUGGUAGUCCACGCCGUAAACGAUGUCGACUUGGAGGUUGUGCCCUUGAGGCGUGGCUUCCGGAGCUAACGCGUUAAGUCGACCGCCUGGGGAGUACGGCCGCAAGGUUAAAACUCAAAUGAAUUGACGGGGGCCCGCACAAGCGGUGGAGCAUGUGGUUUAAUUCGAUGCAACGCGAAGAACCUUACCUGGUCUUGACAUCCACGGAAGUUUUCAGAGAUGAGAAUGUGCCUUCGGGAACCGUGAGACAGGUGCUGCAUGGCUGUCGUCAGCUCGUGUUGUGAAAUGUUGGGUUAAGUCCCGCAACGAGCGCAACCCUUAUCCUUUGUUGCCAGCGGUCCGGCCGGGAACUCAAAGGAGACUGCCAGU
rnacentral:rRNA from 1 species